GCCUCCCUAGGUUUCCUGUCUGGCAGAUGCAGAGUGGCCUCUUGAUCCACAGGGAGACCCCAGUUUCUUACUGUAUCCAGCCAAGCCCCUGAGCAUCUCCCUGUGCCAGUGUUCUCCUCCUCCACUGGGAUGGGGCCCAGGCAUUGGCUCCCCAAACUGUUCCAAUUAAAGAAGGAGCCUGUUUUUGAUGUCAGCCACCUGGGAAGGGGAAGCAAGACCCAUCUGUCCUUCUAGCCCCCUGUUACAUGGACAUUCUCAAGUUCAAACAGGGUCCAGCCUCCUUCCUGGUCUUCGCAGAUGUAUUUACUUAAGAUGAAGCUGUUCAAUAGCCGCUGUCCUUAUAAGAACACGGAAACACAGAAGAGGGUCAUUCGAAGACCAAGAGAAGGGCUAAAGCAGAGCUGAAAGCGCGGCACACAUGGGCCAGAGAUUGCUCAAAGCCACCAGCAGCUGGAAGAGGCAAAGAAGGAUUCCUGCCUAGAGGAGUGGCCCAGCUAAUGCUUUGAUUCUGGACACUAAGCCUCCAGAAAUAGGGGGCAAUAAAUCACUGUCAUCUCUAAA